AAAAACCUUACCAGGUCUUGACAAACUUUUGCAAAGUAUAGAAAUAUAGUGGAGGGUUAUCAGGGAUACAGGUGGUGCAUGGUUGUCGUCAGCUCGUGUCGUGAAAUGUUAGGUUAAGUCCUAAAACGAGCGCCAACCCUUGUCGUUAGUUACCAGCACGUUAUGGUGGGGACUUUAGCGAGACUGCCAAUUAAAAAUUGGAGGAAGGUGAGGAUUACGUCAAAUCAUCAUGCCCCCUUAUGAUCUGGGCUACAAACGUGAUACAAUGGCUGUUACAAAGAGUCGCUGAAACGUGAGUUUUUGGCUAAUCUCAAAAAAGCAGUCUCAGUUCGGAUUGAAGUCUGCAACUCGACUUCAUGAAGUUGGAAUCGCUAGUAAUCGCGAAUCAGCAUGUCGCGGUGAAUACCGUUCUCGGGGUUUGUACACACCGCCCGUCAAACCACGAAAGUUGACAAUACCCGAAAGCAGUGACUUAACUUCGAUACGAGAGGGAACUGUCUAAGGUAGGGUUGAUGAUUGGGGUUAAGUCGUAACAAGGUAUCCCUACCGGAAGGUGGGGAUGGAUCA
rnacentral:rRNA from 1 species